CUAUAAAUGGACUGGCUGUGCUUAAAUCUGAUUGGAUUCUUAGCUUGUAUCUCCAGAGAGCCAUACCUCCCAAGUGAAGAAUAUUCAUGGGACAUUCUAAAGGAAAAGGUACUUACCCCCAAAUCAAAAGGAUCUUCUGUGUAAAUAAGUGGCAGAAAUGAAACUUGAACCCAAGCAGUCUGACUCCACAGGCCCUGCUUUUGAUCAGCAUACUAUACUGCUCCUCUACUACACCUGCUGUGUAAAAGCCUCCAGUUCAAACUGCCAAACUGUUAAUAAUAAGGCGCUUCAGACCACUAAAAUUCCUCUCCCUGUCCAUUAUGUGAACCGCUAAAGCUUAUUUUUGAAGUGCAUGUGGGCAAGGAACAGUCCCUCAAGAGGGAAACCUUACGCCACCCAGACCAACUGUGACCCCCCAGAAACCUCCUCGCAGCUUGGCCAGGUGGGUGGCUUCGGCCCAGAAAGCGCCAGGACUCCCACCUCCCGCUUCCCUCGUUUCUCCCACUUCGGGUUCCAUACCCACCUGCAGCUGGGUCAGGCUGGCGCCGGGCCGGCGGAGCCACGGAGCCGCAGAGCAUCCGCAGCCCUCCACUGCCUCCCGCGCCUCCGCCCCUAGCAACGAGGCGCGCGUCGCUAAGCCCUGAUGAGAACAGAGAUGAGGGAUGUGCCCAAGACCGUGUUGCCUAAACAAUCCGUACAAUCUCCCUCUACGUGGGAGGCAGGAGCAUCACAAGUUAGAGGCCAGCCUCAGCAACUGAGCAAGACCCACUCUCAAAACGGAAAGGGAUGGGGCUGUAGCUCAGCGGUAGGAGAAAGCAUUUAAUAAAUAUUAUU